GAUAAUGCAUAUAAUAAUAUCGUAAAAACAUAUGAAAUAUCUAUUGAAGAUCCACAUUCUCAGAAAGACAAAAAUGUUAUAGACAAUGCCAAGAAUUCCAGCUCUCCAAGAGAGAUUGUACAGAUUUACUACCAAUAUAAUAUUGAUA